rnacentral:snRNA from 1 species
AGCUUUGCGCAGUGGCAGUAUCAUAGCCAAUGAGGUUUAUCCGAGGCAUGAUUUUUGCUAAUUGAAACA